rnacentral:rRNA from 1 species
GAUGAACGCUGGCGGCGUGCCUAAUACAUGCAAGCCGAGCGAACAGAUGAGGAGCUCGCUCCUCUGACGUUAGCGGCGGACGGGUGAGUAACACGUGGAUAACCUACCUAUAAGACUGGGAUAACUUCGGGAAACCGGAGCUAAUACCGGAUAAUAUAUUGAACCGCAUGGUUCAAUAGUGAAAGACGGUUUUGCUGUCACUUAUAGAUGGAUCCGCGCCGCAUUAGCUAGUUGGUAAGGUAACGGCUUACCAAGGCAACGAUGCGUAGCCGACCUGAGAGGGUGAUCGGCCACACUGGAACUGAGACACGGUCCAGACUCCUACGGGAGGCAGCAGUAGGGAAUCUUCCGCAAUGGGCGAAAGCCUGACGGAGCAACGCCGCGUGAGUGAUGAAGGUCUUCGGAUCGUAAAACUCUGUUAUUAGGGAAGAACAAAUGUGUAAGUAACUAUGCACGUCUUGACGGUACCUAAUCAGAAAGCCACGGCUAACUACGUG